rnacentral:lncRNA from 1 species
AGCAAACGCCCAGCAGGACUCCUGUGUCGGGCUCCCUUUAGGGGAGAAGGGCAGCUUGGCCCCCUUCUCUGGGGUAGGCUCGGGCCACUGCAGAGCAUGGAAGAAAGAAAUGCAGCGUGGGGCUCGUUUUUUAUUGAAUUUAAUGAAGAUCAGUGCCAGGUGUUUGGGGCUGCUUAAUAAUUAUAAAGCCUCUGCUAUUUAUUGGCUACUAGAAAUGGUGAGGAAGAGGUUUAUUUUUCUGGAAAUAGCACAUCCUCCUAAGUGCACCAAAAUACAGUAGGAGCUGUGUUUUAUGGAUGGCCAAAUACAGCUUUCUCUCUCCUUGGUACCUCACAGUUUGGUCUUGGAAAUUGUUUUACUACAGGAGGCAAAAGCUUGUCACUGAGGUCUUAAGGUGUGAGGAACAGGAGAAUCGCUUGAACCCGGGAGGCAGAGGUGNNNNNNNNNNCGGGAGGCAGAGGUUGCAGUGAGCCAAGAUCACACUACUGCACUCCAGCCUUUUUUUGAGACUCCAUCUCAAAAACAAAACAAAACAAAAAACUGGCAAUGAGCCUCUGCUAAAACACACACCCAACAAGUGGGCUUCUUGAGAUGUCCCGGGAAGCCUUCCCUGGCCCCAUGAUUCUGAGCUGCAGGAGCAACCCAGGCUCCCUGGAGUGGGCAGGUAGGGAUGGGCGG